rnacentral:rRNA from 1 species
GACGAACGCUGGCGGCGUGCUUAACACAUGCAAGUCGAACGGAAAGGCCCUGCUUGCAGGGUACUCGAGUGGCGAACGGGUGAGCAACACGUGGGUGAUCUGCCCUGCACUUCGGGAUAAGCCUGGGAAACUGGGUCUAAUACCGGAUAGGAGCCAUUUUUAGUGUGAUGGUUGGAAAGUUUUUUCGGUGUAGGAUGAGCUCGCGGCCUAUCAGCUUGUUGGUGGGGUAAUGGCCUACCAAGGCGGCGACGGGUAGCCGGCCUGAGAGGGUGGACGGCCACAUUGGGACUGAGAUACGGCCCAGACUCCUACGGGAGGCAGCAGUGGGGAAUAUUGCACAAUGGGCGCAAGCCUGAUGCAGCGACGCCGCGUGGGGGAUGACGGCCUUCGGGUUGUAAACUCCUUUCGCUAGGGACGAAGCUUUUUGUGACGGUACCUAGAUAAGAAGCACCGGCUAACUACGUG